AGUCACUGACAUUAGAUACCCGUGUAGUCCAGGGUGUAAACGCUGCAGACUUGGUGUUGGAAGUCCUUUGGGGGCAUUCAGUGCCGGAGAGAAGUUGUUAAGUCUGCUACUUGGGAGUACGUCCGCAAGGAUGAAACUUAAAGGAAUUGGCGGGGGAGCACCGCAACGGGAGGAGCGUGCGGUUUAAUUGGAUUCAACACCGUAAACUCACCAGGGAAGACUGUUACAUGAAAGCCGAGAUGAAGACUCUGCUAGAUUUUCAG
rnacentral:rRNA from 1 species